ACUUUUAAAGGAUAAUAGUAAUCCAUUGG
rnacentral:tRNA from 1 species